CCAAACCCUAAUCAAUCUACCGCCGUCUCCUUCUGAAAUUCCUUCAGACCCCUUGUUUUUGUUUCGUCAAUCUUUCUUCGAUUCACUUGCUUUCGGCAGUGAAGAAUCUGCAAAGUGUUUCUAUGUUUUCCUUGUUUAACAAGCUUUUUAUUGAUCGAAAUUUGAUGAAAGAAGGCCAAAUGAUGUGUUUAUUAUCGAGUUGAAUGCUCGCUUUGUGUGGGUAUUUUGAUUCUAACUCUGAAUAGGAAGAUCUGAUGCCUUUUCUCUUUCAAUUUUUCAAAACCAUUUCCAUAUAUACUUACACACAUGUAUCUAUAUCGACACAUACACACACUCACGUCUUGCUCUAUUUCUUUCAUCAUUGUAUUAUUGGUUUUCUUUAAUUUCCAAUUUGCUGGCCGGUGAUGAUAUCUUUUUAAUAUGGUUGACUGAAAAAGCAAGCUUUUAUGCUUGCAUUUGUUGAAAAUCAUGAACUAGGACGGUCUGAGGCUAUUUUGAAUUCCGUUUUUUGUCGCAAAUUUUGGAUGUUUUGUGAAGUUUUUAAUGAUUUAUUUAAUGUGGGUUGUGUAUGAUGAUAUCAUAUAUGUUAACAGUUAUCCCUGUCUGAUUAAUCUUGAUGUAUACAUUUGAUCUGACACAUCUACCCACAUACUAUCUUCACUUUUUAUGAGUUUCUGUUCCUUGAACCCAGUUUAUACCCACAUACCUUGUUCCAGUUGGAUUCAGAAGCUACUUUUUAUGAGUUUCUGAUUCAAUUCCAUCCAACAUGAUGCUUUAAUGGAUACUAUACCAAAGGAGUAUACAUCGGAUUCUUUAUUGAAUGUUCUUGAUUGGAUUUGUUAUUAAAGAAUUCGGUGUAUAUCCUUUGAUAUAAUAUAUAUUGGUAUAAAUAUUGAAGAACCAGGUGAAGGUUAUGUAUGGUGUUCUAAAGGUUUAUGUAGAAUGGUUUUUUGAAUGGAGAGAAGGGACUUGUGGCUGAUUCUGGAUUUGUUUAGAAAUAGGGUAUCAUAAUGUAUUUUAUUCACAUUUUGGUUAAUGUAAUCUACCUUUUAUAAUUGGUUGUGAUAGGUUUGUAAAUAACUUUGUAUCUUUUACAUAAAACUUUCUGUCACAUUUAU